rnacentral:sRNA from 1 species
AAAUGCGGAUGCCUCGUCAUCUUCUGAUGACCUUGUCCUUCCUGAGGCCCUGAUUGGUGGAAUCAUUGGAGGUGUCCUCUUCCUAUUGGUUGCUGUCCUCUUGGCUCUGGUUGCCAUUUUUCACAGUAGGAAAAAGGACAGAAAAGCCAAAUCUAAAUACAAUGAUGUGACCUACGGCAAACCAGAUGAAAUGAAUGGCAGACAGUAAGUAGACAGCAUGUUUACGCUGAUUGAUACGUUUCAUUCUACAUAAUUACACAAACAUUUCAAAAUGUUAAUGCACUCAUUAGAAACCUGCUUCAAACAAUACUUUCUACAAUGAGCAUCAAGCCUCCUACUGAUUG